AAUGGAUCAUAUGCAGGAAAACAACAAGAAUGAACUUGAGAGACUAGACAAAGAGAGGCACGAUGAUUUCCUAAUCAUGCUCAAAGGAUUUGUUGUUAAUCAGCAGGCAGGAUAUGCAGAGAAGAUGGCAAACACUUGGGAAACAGUUGCAGAAGAAACUAGCGGUUAUGCGAAAUAGCUGAAGAGCUGGCUGUAAAUAUAGCCCUUUCUUUAUUAUCUCCUCUUCCCCGUCCAGCCUGUGUACCGAUCAGCAUUAAGACAGGCUCAUUGGAAGUUAGUUACAGUGUGUUAUUUAAACAUUUGGUUAAGGUAGAUGAUAACUGUUGCAUAGAACAUGCAUUUGUGUAAUAGAUUUCAGGCCGAAUAUCUGUGACCAACCCAAUGGUCACAUUGGGUUCAUUUUGCAUAAUCCAUAGUUAUAAAACCAACAAAAACUUGGAUUGCUUUGAAUUA